CUGAUCUCAUGGACACCCGGUAGGGGCACUCUGAUUUAUAACGCUUCUGCCGAGGGCUUUGAUGUAAAUCACAAAGUGAGCUGCAGUACACCUGGCUCCACCUGCAAUGUGACCAACCUGCAAUGUGGCAGCCGUUACCAAGUCAGUGUGAGAGGAGAAGGGCUCACCUGCCCCGGCCAGUCAGAUGACUGGAUUGGCCUCAAGACAGCACCAUGUCCACCUACUCAGGUGUCCAUCCAGUCAUCCUGUGACUCAGACACUGUGUCCGUUUCCUGGCAAACCUCUCAGGGAUCUGUGUCCUACAUGGCUGUUGCCGAGAGCAGUGAAGGUCACAGGGCAACUUGCAACACCAGCCAUCUCACCUGUGAUAUUACAGGCCUGCAGUGUGGACAGACUUAUCAAAUGUAUGUUUCUGGUGUGGAUGGCAACUGUAUUGGAUCCAGAAGUGAAGUUCGCAUUCUUGAAACAGCCCCUUGUGUACCUCAGAACGUGCAAACUAUCCUGGAGUGUCAAGCUACUGUUCUCAACAUUACCUGGCAGCAGACAGGUCAAGCCCAUCACUACCACGCCACAGUGCGGAGCAGCAAUGGUCAAGUGCUGGGGUGUGACUCUAAUACAACCUUCUGCCAAGUACCCAACAUCCUUUGCGGACUGACUUACAGUGUGGCAGUGGUCGCCUAUAGCCAAACCUGCAACAGUUCCCAAAGCUCUGUGCAACAUGUCAAC
rnacentral:lncRNA from 1 species